rnacentral:rRNA from 1 species
GAUGAACGCUGGCGGCGUGCCUAAUACAUGCAAGUCGAGCGAACGGACGAGAAGCUUGCUUCUCUGAUGUUAGCGGCGGACGGGUGAGUAACACGUGGAUAACCUACCUAUAAGACUGGGAUAACUUCGGGAAACCGGAGCUAAUACCGGAUGAUAUUUUGAACCGCAUGGUUCAAAAGUGAAAGACGGUCUUGCUGUCACUUAUAGCUGGAUCCGCGCUGCAUUAGCUAGUUGGUAAGGUAACGGCUUACCAAGGCAACGAUGCAUAGCCGACCUGAGAGGGUGAUCGGCCACACUGGAACUGAGACACGGUCCAGACUCCUACGGGAGGCAGCAGUAGGGAAUCUUCCGCAAUGGGCGAAAGCCUGACGGAGCAACGCCGCGUGAGUGAUGAAGGUCUUCGGAUCGUAAAACUCUGUUAUUAGGGAAGAACAUAUGUGUAAGUAACUGUGCACAUCUUGACGGUACCUAAUCAGAAAGCCACGGCUAACUACGUG